CACUCGCCCUGCGGAGCUCAGGGCGGAGGCGGUGGCAGUCCGCGCAGUCCGGGAGCUUCCGGGCCGUGGCUGCUGGACGGGGCGGCGGGCGCUGGCAACCGAGGGCUCGCGGGAAGGUUCGGGCGCCUCCGUGGGCAAGGACGGGGAGGCGGCGCCUCGGCACUGCCUCUGAUAGUUUUGCUGCUCCAGGUCCUUGUUUGAACGCCGCCUCCCGGUGCCUUUGCUCAGUCUAGGGUACCGGCGCGCGGCUGGAGCCGGAGGACCGUGCGGGCAGUUCUCUAGCCCCGGGCGAAAACGGAGACCCGAGGACUGUAGAACGCAGCCCCGAGGGUGCUCAGUGACUUGCCGUGUGAGGCCAGACAGAACCCUUGCCAUGGUGGAGUCCGAGGAUUUGGCACAGCUGCGGCAGCUCAACCUGAAGCUCAUGCAGCAGCUGUGGGUUGGGCAGGAGGCUGUGCGGCAGUCAGUGGCCAAGGCAGCCUCAGAGUCAAGCCCGGACUCCAAAAGCAGCUACGACUCAGAGAUACCAUCUUCCCAAGAGGUGUCCUCAGUGGCCCUGAGAGCUUCCUGCCUGCCGGACGCCCACCAAGGUGACCCCUGUGAUGUGUCCUGGCAUCGCAGGGCCAGCUCCAGGGUGAUCUCCCUCUCACGUGGCACAUGCCAGUACCAGAAGUCCCUGGGCCCGCUGGGGCCCCAGAAGGCACCCACCUCAAACUCGAAUGACCCAGAGCUUUCAGCAGAGCUGGACAGUCCAGGAUCCCAGGAAGAUCCUGAGAUCCUGAGAUCUCAGGCCCUGAGAUCCACCCUGGAUCAACGAAGUAUGCUGUCCAAGCGGAGAGUGACCUUCAGCAGGGAACCUCCAGUGCCUGAGGAGAGCUGGCGCCUCAGACCGUACCUGGGCUACGAUUGGAUUGCAGCGUCUCUGGACAGCAGCUCGCCCGUCACCAGCAAGCCUGAGGCCUUCUUCUCAAAGCUGCAGAAGUUCCGGGAAGCCAACAAGGAAGAAUGUAUUAACAGUGACCCCGAGUCCCAGUUCCUAGGCCUGCCCGGGAGCAGUGGUGUGGAGGGGGAGCACGAAUGUGUGUACAGUUAUCGUGUCAACCGGCGCCUGUUUCUGGUGCCAUCGGAUCCUGGCACCCCCUGCCGCCUGUGCAGGACACCACGGGACCAACGGGGCCCUGAGACCCUGGCAGAGCCAGCACAGGUCAGGGUGAGCGUCCCAUUGUCUCUCCUGGACCCCCCCCACCGGUACCACAUCCAUCGGCGGAAGAGCUUCGAUGCCUCUGACACGCUGGCCCUGCCCCGGCACUGCCUGCUGGGCUGGGACGUCCUCCCUCCCAAGUCCGACAGGAGCUCAGCGCCCAAGAGCCUGGAUCUCUGGUCCUGUGUCUCCUCCAAGGCUCAGCACCAGCAGCUGUCGGCCAGCGGCCCUUCCCACGUGGUGUGGUCCAGGGUGCCCCAGGAGGGACAGACGUCUUGGGGCAGCCCUGGGGAGGGCACAGCCCCUGUCCCCGGGGGCAGGAUGGGGGCAGGAAGGGAAGAGCCUGAUAAAGCAUCUCUACAAGGGCCUGUCCCCUGGCCCUGACCCAAGACAGCCUCCCAGGCUCCUCCACUCCCCGCUGGCUACCUACCGCACCUCACCCAUGGAGCUCCAGAUGCUGACAUGUGCUGGGUCUGUCCUGCUGAAGCCCACAUUCCUGGGAGGCGCCCUGUCCCCAGCCUGCCCACCCCUCACCUGGGAAAGGUACUUCUGACAACCUGCACUGGGCCGCCUGCAUCCAGCAUUGGUGUGUCUCUGUGCACCUUCCAACUCUGGGUAGAUGGCCUCCCAGGUAGGGCUACAGUCACUAAGACAGGCUGGGGCCACCAUCAGUGUUAGAAGUCCAUCUCAGCAAGGGGCUCGGGGUCUCAGGUUGACCCCUGCAGGUGCCUGUGGGCAGCAGGGAGUGACGAGUUCUCCCCUUGUUGGCCCAUACACUGGGGUCCAUCAGCAGAAGGGCCAUCGUGGAGUCAUCGGGCCAGCUGGCUCCUCCUCUCACUCCAGCCCAGCCCUGGAAGCCGUGUGUGAUCAGAGCCGCAGCAGGGACAGGUGGAGACACAGGGCCAGGCAGCGAGUCGGUGCCCGCUGGCAGAGAGCCCAGAUCCCCCCAGAUCAUAAGCAGUGCCUGCCUCCCCCCACGGGGUGAGCAGUAGGGAAGCCCUGCCUCUGUAGGAGACAAAUGGAGCAGUUGGUGAGCCCAGAGAAGGCCUGUGCUUGCUGGGGUAUCUAGGCUGAGGCGUGGGGCUCCCGCCUUCCACCAGAGCUUGUGAGGCCAUGGAAACCUUCUCUUCCAGUGCUGACAGCACGUGUGGUUGGAUAAGUGGGGUUACAUUAACCCCACAUCUCAGUGCUUUGACAUAAAGGUUAUUUUUUGCUGACUUGCUC